rnacentral:rRNA from 1 species
CAGUCGCCGCGGGAAUACAGAGGGUGCGAGCGUUAAUCGGAUUUACUGGGCGUAAAGCGUGCGUAGGCGGCUAAUUGAGUCGGAUGUGAAAUCCCCGAGCUUAACUUGGGAAUUGCAUUCGAUACUGGUUAGCUAGAGUGUGGGAGAGGAUGGUAGAAUUCCAGGUGUAGCGGUGAAAUGCGUAGAGAUCUGGAGGAAUACCGAUGGCGAAGGCAGCCAUCUGGCCUAACACUGACGCUGAGGUACGAAAGCAUGGGGAGCAAACAGGAUUAGAUACCCGCGUAGUCCCUGUCUCUUAUAC